GAUGAACGCUAGCGGCAGGCUUAAUACAUGCAAGUCGAGGGACAGCACAGGUAGCAAUACUGGGUGGUAACCGGCAAACGGGUGCGGAACACGUACACAACCUUCCUUUAAGUGGGGGAUAGCCCAGAGAAAUUUGGAUUAAUACCCCGUAAUAUAGUUGAAUGGCAUCAUUUGAUUAUUAUAGCUACGGCGCUUAAUGAUGGGUGUGCGGCUGAUUAGAUAGUUGGCGGGGUAACGGCCCACCAAGUCUACGAUCAGUAGCUGAUGUGAGAGCAUGAUCAGCAAAACGCGAACUGAGACACGGGCCCGACUCCUACGGGAGGCAGCAGUAAGGAAUAUUGGUCAAUGGACGCAAGUCUGAACCAGCCAUGCCGCGUGAAGGAUUAAGGUCCUCUGGAUUGUAAACUUCUUUUAUUUGGGACGAAAAAGGGCCUUUCUAGGUCAACUGACGGUACCAGAUGAAUAAGCACCGGCUAGCUCCGUGCCAGCAGCCGCCGUAAUAC
rnacentral:rRNA from 1 species